ensembl:lncRNA
CUUCCAAGCUAGUUUCUCUAGCUACACUUGAACCUGUUGUUAUAGUGGACUAAGUGAAUUUAUCCUAUUUUUUUAGAAACCUUGUCUUAGAGAUACAAAAUGAUACAAAAUGUAUGCGAAUGUGAUUCAUCAUUUUAGUUGGACAGAUUGUGUAGUUUUUGUCAUAAGGCAUUAUUACAUAAGGAGCUGACAUUAGUUUUAGCCUCCUGGCAGCGUAUUAGUGAUGAGUGACUACCAUAGCUAGGAGGGCAUAGUUGAGCUGAGGUGAUUCUCGUCUACCGACUCCCGUCCUCUCACUUCAAAAAGAUGACCUGACAGAGAGAAGUGAUGACAACAAGUGCAGACUCUAACUUGACAGUGUAUUUCAAAUUUUGAGCAAAUUCCAUCUGGGAGGGAAGCUGACUGCUGCCUGGGCAAAGGAAAACAAUGGGAAAAUGUAAAUAAAAAGUACAAGGAGGCUAGGGAGAAAACUAGCCCUGUGCCAAAGAAGAGGAACAAUGACCUUCUGCAUUUCCUCAGAGAGACAGGAGAAGAGGGACAAUGAGGCUCGGGAGAAAGAGGAGAAGAGGGAGGAAGAGGCUGCCAAGAGAGGUCACAAGUUCCUCUCUCUUUUUGGGAAAUGUGUAGAUAAGGUGUGAGAGUUUUGAGAGAGAUGUGAGUUAGGGUUUUAAAGUUAAAUUUUAAAGUUUAAAUGGUUCAAUUGUAAUUACGCAAGGGUUAACAUGAUCCACUGUUCCCUGUGUCUCUAUAUAGUUAGAUAUUGAUAACACCAUAACAACCAUGUAGCAAUUCAAGUGAAUUGACUUAUUAUGGUGAAUUUUGAUGCUGAACUAUAUUUGAUGUUACAAGGGCAAAACAGGAACAUGGUAAAUUCAGAGAAUUGUUGUUUACGUGUUUUACAUCACAUGUACUUCUAACCCAGCAGGG